AGCGUACACGGUGGAUGCCCUGGCAGUCAGAGGCGAUGAAGGACGUGCUAAUCUGCGAUAAGCGUCGGUAAGGUGAUAUGAACCGUUAUAACCGGCGAUUUCCGAAUGGGGAAACCCAGUGUGUUUCGACACACUAUCAUUAACUGAAUCCAUAGGUUAAUGAGGCGAACCGGGGGAACUGAAACAUCUAAGUACCCCGAGGAAAAGAAAUCAACCGAGAUUCCCCCAGUAGCGGCGAGCGAACGGGGAGCAGCCCAGAGCCUGAAUCAGUGUGUGUGUUAGUGGAAGCGUCUGGAAAGGCGCGCGAUACAGGGUGACAGCCCCGUACACAAAAAUGCACAUGCUGUGAGCUCGAUGAGUAGGGCGGGACACGUGGUAUCCUGUCUGAAUAUGGGGGGACCAUCCUCCAAGGCUAAAUACUCCUGACUGACCGAUAGUGAACCAGUACCGUGAGGGAAAGGCGAAAAGAACCCCGGCGAGGGGAGUGAAAAAGAACCUGAAACCGUGUACGUACAAGCAGUGGGAGCACGCUUCGGCGUGUGACUGCGUACCUUUUGUAUAAUGGGUCAGCGACUUAUAUUCUGUAGCAAGGUUAACCGAAUAGGGGAGCCGAAGGGAAACCGAGUCUUAACUGGGCGUUAAGUUGCAGGGUAUAGACCCGAAACCCGGUGAUCUAGCCAUGGGCAGGUUGAAGGUUGGGUAACACUAACUGGAGGACCGAACCGACUAAUGUUGAAAAAUUAGCGGAUGACUUGUGGCUGGGGGUGAAAGGCCAAUCAAACCGGGAGAUAGCUGGUUCUCCCCGAAAGCUAUUUAGGUAGCGCCUCGUGAAUUCAUCUCCGGGGGUAGAGCACUGUUUCGGCAAGGGGGUCAUCCCGACUUACCAACCCGAUGCAAACUGCGAAUACCGGAGAAUGUUAUCACGGGAGACACACGGCGGGUGCUAACGUCCGUCGUGAAGAGGGAAACAACCCAGACCGCCAGCUAAGGUCCCAAAGUCAUGGUUAAGUGGGAAACGAUGUGGGAAGGCCCAGACAGCCAGGAUGUUGGCUUAGAAGCAGCCAUCAUUUAAAGAAAGCGUAAUAGCUCACUGGUCGAGUCGGCCUGCGCGGAAGAUGUAACGGGGCUAAACCAUGCACCGAAGCUGCGGCAGCGACACUGUGUGUUGUUGGGUAGGGGAGCGUUCUGUAAGCCUGUGAAGGUGUACUGUGAGGUAUGCUGGAGGUAUCAGAAGUGCGAAUGCUGACAUAAGUAACGAUAAAGCGGGUGAAAAGCCCGCUCGCCGGAAGACCAAGGGUUCCUGUCCAACGUUAAUCGGGGCAGGGUGAGUCGACCCCUAAGGCGAGGCCGAAAGGCGUAGUCGAUGGGAAACAGGUUAAUAUUCCUGUACUUGGUGUUACUGCGAAGGGGGGACGGAGAAGGCUAUGUUGGCCGGGCGACGGUUGUCCCGGUUUAAGCGUGUAGGCUGGUUUUCCAGGCAAAUCCGGAAAAUCAAGGCUGAGGCGUGAUGACGAGGCACUACGGUGCUGAAGCAACAAAUGCCCUGCUUCCAGGAAAAGCCUCUAAGCAUCAGGUAACAUCAAAUCGUACCCCAAACCGACACAGGUGGUCAGGUAGAGAAUACCAAGGCGCUUGAGAGAACUCGGGUGAAGGAACUAGGCAAAAUGGUGCCGUAACUUCGGGAGAAGGCACGCUGAUAUGUAGGUGAAGUCCCUCGCGGAUGGAGCUGAAAUCAGUCGAAGAUACCAGCUGGCUGCAACUGUUUAUUAAAAACACAGCACUGUGCAAACACGAAAGUGGACGUAUACGGUGUGACGCCUGCCCGGUGCCGGAAGGUUAAUUGAUGGGGUCAGCGCAAGCGAAGCUCUUGAUCGAAGCCCCGGUAAACGGCGGCCGUAACUAUAACGGUCCUAAGGUAGCGAAAUUCCUUGUCGGGUAAGUUCCGACCUGCACGAAUGGCGUAAUGAUGGCCAGGCUGUCUCCACCCGAGACUCAGUGAAAUUGAACUCGCUGUGAAGAUGCAGUGUACCCGCGGCAAGACGGAAAGACCCCGUGAACCUUUACUAUAGCUUGACACUGAACAUUGAGCCUUGAUGUGUAGGAUAGGUGGGAGGCUUAGAAGUGUGGACGCCAGUCUGCAUGGAGCCGACCUUGAAAUACCACCCUUUAAUGUUUGAUGUUCUAACGUUGACCCGUGAUCCGGGUUGCGGACAGUGUCUGGUGGGUAGUUUGACUGGGGCGGUCUCCUCCUAAAGAGUAACGGAGGAGCACGAAGGUUGGCUAAUCCUGGUCGGACAUCAGGAGGUUAGUGCAAUGGCAUAAGCCAGCUUGACUGCGAGCGUGACGGCGCGAGCAGGUGCGAAAGCAGGUCAUAGUGAUCCGGUGGUUCUGAAUGGAAGGGCCAUCGCUCAACGGAUAAAAGGUACUCCGGGGAUAACAGGCUGAUACCGCCCAAGAGUUCAUAUCGACGGCGGUGUUUGGCACCUCGAUGUCGGCUCAUCACAUCCUGGGGCUGAAGUAGGUCCCAAGGGUAUGGCUGUUCGCCAUUUAAAGUGGUACGCGAGCUGGGUUUAGAACGUCGUGAGACAGUUCGGUCCCUAUCUGCCGUGGGCGCUGGAGAACUGAGGGGGGCUGCUCCUAGUACGAGAGGACCGGAGUGGACGCAUCACUGGUGUUCGGGUUGUCAUGCCAAUGGCACUGCCCGGUAGCUAAAUGCGGAAGAGAUAAGUGCUGAAAGCAUCUAAGCACGAAACUUGCCCCGAGAUGAGUUCUCCCUGACUCCUUGA
rnacentral:rRNA from 1 species